rnacentral:lncRNA from 1 species
CUAUUUUGAGUCGAUUUAACCAAGGAUGACGAGAGAUGAACAAGGAUGAACAACUCUGAAGAGAAUUCUUGUCCAGGGUGAAAUGCAAAAAAUCUACAUACAUCAAGUAGAACUGAAAACAAAGAAUAUUGAACUAUUGCAAUAUGUUAGCUGUUUCCAUCGUUGCCAUCAUGGUCUAGUGGUAAAGACUGAGGCCAUCAUGAGCGAACGUUGUGAACCGUCUCCAGGUAAGACUCUCGUAACUUUUCGUAUAGUUUUUCUUUAUUUCUUUUUGCCAUUAUUUUUCCAAAAAUGUCUCUAAAUCGCACCUCCUAGCAGCUGAAUAUUCAUUUUUUGAUAUUUUUUUUGUAUAUUAGGACAAUUUUGAGUCGAUUUAACCAAGGAUGACGAGAGAUGAACAAGGAUGAACAACUCUGAAGAGAAUUCUUGUCCAGGGUGAAAUGCAAAAAAUCUACAUACAUCAAGUAGAACUGAAAACAAAGAAUAUUGAACUAUUGCAAUAUGUUAGCUGUUUCCAUCGUUGCCAUCAUAGUAUAGUGGUAAAGA